GCUUUUAAAUUAACGUUACGCUUGUAUAUUUUUUAUUUAUUUAGAGUUGUUGGUAACGGCGAUCAAAAUACGCCGUAGGCGUAUUUUGAUCGCGUUGGUUAGUCUCUGGUGUUUUUUGGUAUUUUAUAUAUAUUUUAUAUAUUCAUUAAUUUUCUUAAAAACUAUUGCACGAAAAGCUAUGAAAAAGCACAAAAAUAUUUUUGAGUCUAAAACGGCAGAAUAUCCACUUGAUUUUAUAGAAAAUUUGUUAAUUUGGACAGCCCUAAAGUGAAACGGACCCCACUUUUACAGAUAUCUUAUCUCAUAUUUUUUUAAAGGUAUCGAAGAAUAAGCUGCCCUAUAUCUUGUAAACUAUUGGAAAUAAACAAUGUAUGCCCCUGGAUAGGAAUUAUAUUUUUUUAAUAGAAGUGUCAUGGAUCGUCUGACAGAGUUACAUACUGUGUAGAAGAAGUCCUGUACUAAUACAAACUAGUUUCUGACACGCAUUGGCAGACUUUCUUUAAUUAGUUUAUUAUCAAAUAGCGUUGUAACAUAAAAGCCUAUUAGCUUUACUUUAAACCGCAAAUUUUGUACACGCUGAAUUCAAUUUGUUUUAUUUAAA